GCAAACUUGGUCAUUUAGAGGAAGUAAAAGUCGUAACAAGGUUUCCGUAGGUGAACCUGCGGAAGGAUCAUUACAGAGUAAACUUGGUGGGUUGUUGCUGGCUCUCAAUUGAGCAUGUGCACACCUGUCAUCUUUAUCUUUCCACCAUGUGCACUUUUUGUAGGACUGGAAUAGACAAUAAGCCUAGUCACUUGUGGGCUAUUGGAGGGUUGCUGAUGUUUUUCAGCUCUUUCUGUUUCAGGCUGUCUAUUCUAUGCUCUACGAUAUUUCUAUAUACACCAUGUAUGUCAAUGAACGCAAUCAAUGGGCCCAUAAAGCCUAUAAAUCUAUAAUACAACUUUCAGCAACGGAUCUCUUGGCUCUCGCAUCGAUGAAGAACGCAGC
rnacentral:misc_RNA from 1 species